ACCAACUCGUUCUAAAAAAAUAAUUUUUCUCUUAUGUUGGACUUGUGAUCAAGCUAAUGAAUGUCCUUUGAUUUUAGUAAUAACAAGAGGUAAAGAAGUAAAUUUGGAAUUUCAAAUGCCUAACUCAGAGUGAAGCGCACAUGCAGGAUACAAAUAAAUACAAAUACAUGUAUUUGAAUGGCAUGGCCCUCUAAAAGAGCAAAAGGAGCCAGCAGAAAAAGCCAUUGAAUCAGCCAACGAGGCCCAGCAGGAAGGAGCUAAUCCAGAGCAAGAAAUCCAGUAAAUAGAAUUUGAUGGCAGAGUCCCAAAACCAGUUGGCUGAAGAGGAGGGUGGCUUGUUGGUGUGGGAGAUGAUGCUGACAUUCUCACGGUGCAGGAACUAGAGGAAGCAGAAGUAUUCAGAUCUCUUCAGGUGCUGACCAGGUUGUCAAGAACCUCUUUCAGGAUUGAGGAGAAGGAGAUUUCCUGCAAGUCGAACUGGUGAUGGUGAAGAUGACUCUAAGACAGACCAGGUAAUCAUCAAACACAUUGUUGAAAUAAAUGAAAUUGGCUUAAAUGAACAUCAGGACCAAAAGAAGUGGAAAAAGAAGAAGCAGGAUACUGUGGCUUCAGGAGUGAAAAAGGGGUGGAGCGUUUCUGCUCUGUCUCUGUGGCAAUGAGGAUGAGUGAAUUAUUUUCAAAUAAUCAUUAUUUAUCUUUGUAGUGUCAUCAUGCUGUUUCCUCUCCCUUUUAUGUAGACCUGAGCCAUUGGUAUUGUAUCUAGCAUUGCAUUUGAUAGGGAAAAUAAGGAGAAGGAAUCCCAAAUGUUCAGAAAUUAGAUCGAAUAAAUUGAAAAUGGGGACCA
rnacentral:lncRNA from 1 species